CGCAGCCGCGGUAAUUCCAGCUCCAAUAGCGUAUAUUAAAGUUGUUGCAGUUAAAAAGCUCGUAGUUGAAUUUCGGGGUUAGUAGGUUGGUCAUGCCUCUGGUAUGUACUGGUCUCACUGAUUCCUCCUUCCUGAUGAACCGUAAUGCCAUUAAUUUGGUGUUGCGGGGAAUUUGGACUGUUACUUUGAAAAAAUUAGAGUGUUUAAAGCAAGCUAACGCUUGAAUACAUUAGCAUGGAAUAAUGAAAUAGGACGUUCGAUCCUAUUUUGUUGGUUUCUAGGAUUGACGUAAUGAUUAAUAGGGAUAGUUGGGGGCAUUAGUAUUCAAUUGUCAGAGGUGAAAUUCUUGGAUUUAUUGAAGACUAACUACUGCGAAAGCAUUUGCCAAGGAUGUUUUCAUUAAUCAAGAACGAAAGUUAGGGGAUCGAAGACGAUCAGAUACCGUCGUAGUCUUAACCAUAAACUAUGCCGACUAGGGAUCGGAUGAUGUUAAUUUUUAAUGACUCAUUCGGCGCCUUAC
rnacentral:rRNA from 1 species